rnacentral:misc_RNA from 1 species
UCCAGAAGGUGUGUUGACGUGAAUUCUCAUUCUCAUGCUAUGCAUUCAGUGGUGGUUCCAGUUUGGAUGCAAAAGUUAAUUGCUAGUUAUGAAAAUGAUGGGAAAGCCUCUAACUUAAUUCAGCAGUUGUUAGUUGGAUAAGGAUGCAGUUUUUGGGUAUCAAUUGAAGAAUGGUAUUUUGUAUUAUAAAGAUAGAAUGUAUGUGGGGACUACUACCAAUUUGAGGCAGGUGUUGUUGGAAUCUUAUCAUAGUUCAGCAGUGGGAGGCCAUUCAGGUGUUCAUGCUACUUAUUUGAAAUUAAAGAAAAUUUUCUUUUGGCCUGCUAUGCUUAAUGAUGUCAUGCAGUGGGUUCAUACCUGUGAUACUUGUGCUAGAUGUAAGGGAGAGCACUGUGCUUAUCCAGGGUUAUUACAACCUCUACCAAUUCCUACUCAAGCUUGGCAGCAGGUGUCUAUGGAUUUUAUUGAAAGAUUGCCCAAGUCAAAGGGGAAAGACACUAUUUUGGUAGUUGUUUGCAGAUUUACUAAAUUUGGCCAUUUUAUUUCACUAGCACAUCCAUUUUCUGCUGUUUCUGUAGCCAAACUUUUCAUUGAUCACAUUUUUAAGUUGCAUGGAGCUCCUCAAGUUAUUGUUUCUGACAGAGAUAAGGUGUUUACUAGCUUAUUUUGGCAGGAAUUGUUUA